rnacentral:rRNA from 1 species
GACGAACGCUGGCGGCGUGCCUAAUACAUGCAAGUAGAACGCUGAAGGAGGAGCUUGCUUCUCUGGAUGAGUUGCGAACGGGUGAGUAACGCGUAGGUAACCUGCCUGGUAGCGGGGGAUAACUAUUGGAAACGAUAGCUAAUACCGCAUAAGAGUAGAUGUUGCAUGACAUUUGCUUAAAAGGUGCACUUGCAUCACUACCAGAUGGACCUGCGUUGUAUUAGCUAGUUGGUGGGGUAACGGCUCACCAAGGCGACGAUACAUAGCCGACCUGAGAGGGUGAUCGGCCACACUGGGACUGAGACACGGCCCAGACUCCUACGGGAGGCAGCAGUAGGGAAUCUUCGGCAAUGGACGGAAGUCUGACUGAGCAACGCCGCGUGAGUGAAGAAGGUUUUCGGAUCGUAAAGCUCUGUUGUAAGAGAAGAACGAGUGUGAGAGUGGAAAGUUCACACU